AACGAACGCUGGCGGCAGGCCUAACACAUGCAAGUCGAGCGCCCCGCAAGGGGAGCGGCGGACGGGUGAGUAACGCGUGGGAACGUGCCCUUUGCUACGGAAUAGCCCCGGGAAACUGGGAGUAAUACCGUAUAAGCCCUACGGGGGAAAGAUUUAUCGGCAAAGGAUCGGCCCGCGUUGGAUUAGGUAGUUGGUGGGGUAAUGGCCUACCAAGCCGACGAUCCAUAGCUGGCUUGAGAGGAUGAUCAGCCACACUGGGACUGAGACACGGCCCAGACUCCUACGGGAGGCAGCAGUGGGGAAUCUUAGACAAUGGGCGCAAGCCUGAUCUAGGCAUGCCGCGUGAGCGAUGAAGGCCUUAGGGUUGUAAAGCUCUUUCGUGGGGGAAGAUAAUGACUGUACCCCAAGAAGAAGCCCCGGCUAACUCCGUGCCAGCCGCCGCAGUAACAC
rnacentral:rRNA from 1 species